rfam:Brachypodium distachyon strain Bd21 chromosome 1, whole genome shotgun sequence.
GGAGUAUUCUCUCCGUCCAACAAAAGAUGUCUAAUUUGAAUGCAUUUAUACACUAAGUCAUGUCUAAAUACAUCCAAAUUUUAACAAACUUGAUACAUCUUUUGUUGGACGGAGGGAGUAUAUG